GGGCCGGCGGCCUCACCUCCCACCGGCAGCACCACCCCGCCGCUCCACUCGGAGGCUGCAGGUUUCGGCUAGGGUUUCUGCUCCGUUUUCCAGCCGGAAGACUGCCAAGGCCAGGGUGGAGGCUAGAGAUGGUCCUGACUGCAAGGACCGUGAAGCUCAGCUAGCGCGAGAAUCCCCGGAACUAUGAAGAACAGCGAAAUGCAUCCCCUCCAGCCUUCCCAAGCCGCAACAGCGCUUGCGCCUCUCCGCCUCUCUCUUCUAGUUUCUAUUUUUGCUGCAGAUCUCCUUUAAAAACUUUUUUUUUUUUUUCCCUGCUGGGUGUGGUGGCUCACACCUGUAAUCUCUGCACUCAGGAAAGUGGAGACAGGAGGAUCAGGCGUUCAAGGAGAAGCUUGCCAUGCAUGCUUUAGGGCCUAAGCGCAAAUCCCCAGACCCCGGGAAAACCAAGAUGGAAGGUGGAAACGGGACUGCAGCAGUUUGCAAGCCAUCCAGACUGGCUUAUGAAGCAGCUUACAAGAUGCCUGCCUCAAACAGCCGGAAGGCGAGGACUGACCUCACCCCUAGGUAUGCUCACCCAGAGGCACGCAUCAUUCGCGCAGAAAUCAUAGACAUAUUUCAAAACUGGGCGUUAAUGGCAUGGUGGGCUUUAAAGUCGGUGGUGGUGCUCGCCUUUAAUCCCAGCACUCUGGAGGCAGGGGCAGGCAGAGCUCUAUGAGGCCAGCCCGGUCUCCAGAGUGAGUUCCAGGACAGCCAGAGCUACAUAGUGAGACCCUGUCUCAAAAUAAAUCCAAUCAAUUGUUGGAGUCCAAAAAUCCAAAACAAUGCAAGCAAGCAAGCGCCCAGCAAAUCAAGAUCUUCAUUGAACCAGGCAGCACAAACUGACCAGGGAAGGACCAGAGCAGAUUCAGGAGCUCGCUGCAUAUUCCAACAUUCGUAAGACGAUGACAAAAACGCACUGGACUCGGGCAACUACUGAUGGAGCAGGGCCGCAGAACAGACUCAGAAGUGGAACCUAAACCCUGAGUCAGGAUGCUACAAAGAAUUUUAAGCCGGAAAUCCACAAGCAUCUGUGCCAAAUUAUAGUUAAGUUUUCCCAGCAAUAAGGAUUUACAGAUAGGAGACUUCCUUAAGAACAAAUCUUUCAAGCUGGACGUGGUGGCACACACCUAUGAUCCCAGCACUCAGGGAGGCUGAGGCAGGAGAGUGUUGUGAGUUCAAGGCCAGCCCGGUCUAUAAAGGGAGUCCAGGACAGCCAAGAUUACACAGAGAAACCCUGUCUUGGAAAAGCAUUAAAAAAGAGAGCCUGUCUUUGUGAUCCACUGACCCUGGUCCCAUUGGUUGGUUACUGAACUGUGGUGGGGCCACUUGCCUGGCAUUGGGGCCAUUUGCCGGGCAUUUGUGACUCGGCCUGCCAACCAGGAAGCUAGUUCACAGGCCCGUCUCUUUCUGGCAAGUGGGAUGUCAGUCACCAGGGAGGUGGGUUGGGGUGUUAGACUUUAGUUGACCCCUCUUCAGAAUGGAAGUUUUAUUCAAAAUGGCUUCAGUUUGGCUCCUUCUUACACAACCAACCAACAACAAGAAAAAAGGAAAGAAAGAAAAGGAAAAAAGUGAAAACAACCGGACUUUAAGUGGGGCAUGGCUACUCAUACCUUAACCACAGCAGAGGUAGGAGGAUUGCUCCAUGUUCAAGGCCAGCCUUGGUUACAGGAGACCUCACUAAAGUAUGGAGGUUUGAUUUGGACCACUGAAGUGGGAGACAGCACUUACUAGGUAGGCGGACAUCUGGCAAGGUUGCCUCUCUGUGGACGCAGAUGGCUGGGCACCCCUCUUGCUGAGGGCGGACGGUGGCCCUACCCAGACGGAACUCGAGAUUUCCCCAAAGGCAGCAAGUGUUGAGCUACUGAAUCGUAUCCUGGUCUCCGGCAGCAGGCUUGAGAACUUGAACUUAAUUUCACCUUAUGAUCAAAACGGAGACUUGGGGGCAAAAUGGCGUCUGAUACGCUAAGGGCGAAAGCAGGUGCUAACAGAGGAGCCACAGCUAUGCCGAGAACUGAAGUAGGUCUCCACAGAGGGGCCAGAGAGUUGAAGCAGGUUUCGACAAGUGGUAGAGAAUGCGCUCAGCACCCCGCGACCAAUCCUGAGCACAAAGCCCCACAAGUGUGUAAAACGCUGGAACAUUCAGGGCUCUCGGAAGCCAGACCAGUGAAAGCAGCGUGAAGGGCAGGAGUCACCUGUAUGACCCAGGAGGCUAAGCCACAGAGAAAGGAAACAAAACUGCAGUUUGUACAACGUGGGAGGGGCAGAUUGUGAGGGGGGUCUUUGUAGGGCGAGGGCAUUGGGUAAUCCUACAGGUGUGAGGAGAAAACCCCCUGGCCCAAGUCAUAGUGGCCAGAUUAGUUAAAGCAAGCAGUUCACUGAGGCAGCCUUUUACAAAGAUUCAUGGACAGGGCUGCCUCCCCCGAUGGCAGGGUUUGAAAAGUCAACAUCCGACAUGAGGAGUGUUGGGAUCAGUAAGCAGGCACCUCUACGGCCAGCCCCAAGGGACCUGACAAACCGGUUAUCAGGCAUUUGUGAAGACACCUGUCUGGAGCCGUGACUCAGCGGCCUGCUUUGAUAUUUAAAUCUCGGCAGAGAGAUGGCUUUUAGGAGGCCUUUACUAAUGGCAGAGGAGAACUUGCAAGUCCAUCUCCUUUUGUUUGUGAUAACAGGUGGGAUAGCUUGUGAGGGUCACACCUCUUCCUCAGGCUCCUUGUGCAAAUUAACCUAUUGUUCUGAGAUGUUUUGCUGGCAAAAAGUAACUACUCAAAAAAUAAAGUGGUCAGAAGGCUGGAGGCAGAGGAGGAGGCAGAGUCUUGAGACUGGCUGCUGGCACUGCUUGCUGCAGCAGUCUGCCUUUUGCUGUGGCUGUCGAGUCUGGACCUUUAAAAAGUUUCCUGUGUGCUGUGUGUUUAUUUUAUUAAUUUUAAUCCUCACUCCCAACUCAAGAACCGUGCGACUCUGCCCGGCUGGCUCCGGCAGAUUGGCGCCCGGACGUGGGACUUGAGAUACAGGGAUUCAGUGAAGGACACCGCUGUGUUUGGUUCGCGAGCUCGCAUUAAGUAGAAGGGGUGCAGUGAGUAAAUCCCAGAAUAAAAAUGGGACAAGGUAUUAGCCUAGUGUUUUCUUUGUGGAACUUAAUUAAAGGUAGUCUGUACAAGCAGCAGGAAACUGAGAAAGCUAAACUUUCAGGCUCAGAGAGAAGGAGGUUAGAAAGAUGACAGGCUUCAAGAGAAAAUUAUAUUAUACCAUCAGCUCCUACAGAGGAGUUGUAUUGCCCUUCUGAUGACAAUAAUUUCUUGCCAGAAGGAGACUUUGAGGAAGACUUGCAACCUAAUGAGGUUGCAGAGUUGGAGGAAGAACAAGAUCAGUACUAUUCUGAGAGAUACCCUCCAAUUCAGGCUAUGCAUGUUAAAAAGCAUAAGCCUUGGCAAAAAGAAAUUAUAAAAGACUGGAGUAUGGUUUGGAGGAAAUAAACAGAAAAAUUAGAGAAUUAAUUACUAAGGAAAAUGAGACUCAAUCUCAUACUCCAAUCCCAUCAUUGGAUGAAGGCUUAGGCCCUCCUCCUGGGAAUGCUACAGUUUCAAUGGCCCAGAAGGCAAGGGGACCUUUCCUUUUGUCCACUGUAGGAACAUCUGUAUCUGCUUUACAGGCUUCUUUACAAGAAGCCAGGCAGAAUGGAGAAGACGUAUCUGAGUUUUAUAGUUUUCCAGUUCUGGAGCAACCCGAUGGACAUGGUAAUAUGGUGAGAGUCCAUGCUCCUAUACCUUUUAAACAGAUAAGAGAACUAAAAUCUGCAUGCUCCCAAUAUGGACCUACAGCACCUUUCACCCUGUCUCUGCUGGAAUCCAUGUCUACUGAGGCUCUUUGCCCAGGGGACUGGAAACAGUUAGCAAUUAUAAAUUAUCAGGAGGAGAUAAUUUAUUAUGGAAGUCAGAUUUUGCAGAGCAUUGUCAAGCUACAGCUAAACUUAAUCAAGCUCAGCAAAUUCCUAUAACUUAUUACAUGCUUGCUGGAGAAGGAAUCUACAGGGAAAUAGGACAGCAAUUGGAUUUUGAUGUGGCUGUUUAUGCUCAGGUCAAUACUGCUGCCCGGAGGGCCUGGAAUAAGCUUCCACAAGCAGGUAGACAGGUGGAGGAUUUGUCUAAAAUCUGUCAGGGACCUGAUGAGUUAUUUCAAGAUUUUGUGGCAAGAUUAAUGCAAGCAGCAAACAGACUUAUAAGUGAUGAAAAGUCUGGAUUGUUAUUAGUGAAACAAUUGGCUUAUGAGAAUGCUAACAGUGCUUGCCAAGCAGACUUGAGACCUGUUAGAAAGAAAGGAGAAAAUGGGGGAAAAGGCCAAGGAUUGGGGUACUACAUUACAGACAAUAGUACUCAUCCAAAUAAUUAGGUUAAUAACAGCUAAAAUUCAAAGCUCUCUGGCUGAAAGGUAUUUGUCAGCUCUUUCUGGUAAGGGUCCGCCAAUUUAUUGAAACAUCAACUAAAAUAACCAACUGGGCUUUGUUUGUUACAGUGUAAAUUGGCUAAGACCCUAUUUAAAAUUAACAACAGGAGAACUAAAACCACUUUUUGACAUUUUCAAAGGAGAGGCUAAUCCUUUGUCAAAAAGGGAACUUACCAAAGAAGCUCGUGAUGCUUUGCAAAAGAUAGAAUUAGCUAUUGAAAAGCAGCAUGUUCAAUAUAUUGAUUAUUCAAAAGAAUGGGGUGAAUAUAUUUUGGCUACUGUUCAUACUCCAACUGCUGUAAUGUGGCAAGAAGGACUAUUAUUAUGGUUGCACCUGCCUGUGUCUUCUGUUCAAGUUCUGACACCAUAUUAUGAAGCAGUGGCUAGUUUAGUUAAAAUGGCUCGCACAAAAUCUCGUAAAUAUUUUGGUAGAGAGCCCUCCUUAAUUGGAGUCCCUUUUACCAAACAGCAAGUAGAUUGGUGAUUUCAAAAUGUAGAUUGUUGGGCGAUAGCUUUUGCUCAUUAUUUAAGACGUAUUGAUAAUCAUUAUCCAAAAGAUAAAUUACUUCAAUUUGCCAGUGAGCACACUUUUGUAUUUCCUAAAAUAAUUAAACAAAAGCCAUUACCUCAACAAUAUUCACUGAUGGAUCUUCAAAUGGAAAAGCUGCUUAUGUACUAGAGGGACAAACUUUUGUUUUGCAAACAUUGCCAACCUCAGCUCAAGUUGUAGAAUUACGAGCUGUUGCUGCAGUCUUUAAAAAUUUGGCUUCUACCUCUUUCAACUUGUAUACUGAUAGCCAUUAUAUAGCUAAAGCUUUACAAGUCCUAGAGACUGUAACAUAUGUUAAUACAGCUAAUAAACAAAUACAAGAUCUAUUUAGAGAGAUUCAACAAAGUAUUUGGAGCCAUGUGCAGCCUUGUUACAUAGGGCAUAUUAGAGCUCAUUCAGGGCUUCCUGGACCUUUAACUUUAGGAAAUGAUUUAGCAGAUCUAGCCACACGUUUGGUUGGAUUAACUCAACAAGAAUUGGCUCAAAAUUCUCAUACAUUACAUCAUCAAAAUAGCAAGAGCUUAAAAAAAACAACAAAAAACAAUUUAAUAUUACCAGAGAAGCCACUAGACAAAUUUGUAAGAUCAUGUUCCCCUUGCCCUGAACAUUUUAAUGUACCUCAUUAUGCUGUCAAUCCUAGAGGUUUGACUCCCAAUCAUUUGUGGCAAAUGGAUGUAACUCAUGUCUCAGAAUUUGGGAAACUAAAAUAUGUUCAUGUAACAAUUGACACUUUUUCAGGAUUUAUCAUGGCAACUCCCUUAACAGGGAAAGCCAUCAAACAUGUUAUAAGUCAUUGCUUAAAGUGUUUUGCUGCAAUUGGUAUAACUUCCAUUAACAUAAGUCAUAAAACGGGGAUUCCAUGUAAUUUCCAGGGCCAAAAUAUUAUAAAACGAGCCCAUGGAUCUCUUAAGAACCAAUUGCAAAAAAUAAAAAAGGGGGGGAGUCAUAUCUCCAAAUAUUAAUCAUGCUCUCUUUAAAUUUUUUGAAUGUGGAUACACAAAGCUGUUCUGCGGCUGAUCGAUUGUGGCAUCCUAAUACCAAAGAUAAUUUUGCCCAAGUAAAAUGGAAAGAUCCAAUUACUGGAUUAUGGCAGGGCCCCGACCCUGUAUUAAUAUGGGGAAGAGGGCAUGUUUGUGUUUUUCCACAGGACGCAGAGGGAGCCAGGUGGAUCCCAGAGAGGCUGGUAAGGUUUGCAGUUGUUCCCCAGAAAGAAGUUGUUCCCGCGGCAGACAACCAUAAACUCUGCCCUGACCUAGACUGAAAAGCUGCAUUAUACCUGAGCUCCUGACCCCGCUCUUGCUUCAUUCUGCUCCUGGGAGAAGACGUCAUACAGAGAAACCUCUUAUAUAAUAAACUGGACUUGACUGUUUUGUUAAUAAGGACAAACCUCAACAAAAUCAAAAGAGAACUAACUGUGAAACUUUAAUCUGGCUCUGGUUUUCAGCAGAGCAAAACAGACUUGCUUCAGGAACUCUUGGGGGGGCCUGUAACUGCCUAUGUAAAUUCUCCUUUUGUUUUGCUGCUUUGAGAUGGUAAGCUUUCAAAUGGUUCUGUUUGCUCGACAGCCUUUUACUAUGGUUCCUCUAAAUGUUUCUCAGACUUGGUAAUUUACACAGGGAGUCACCUGCUAGUCACUUUUGGAGUGUUACUUUGGACUUGGCUUGUGUUAGGAGACAUGCUCCUAUCAGUGAUAACUAAAAUCUGCCUGAAGGCCUUUUGGUGUGUCAAAGCUGAGCUGAUCUGCACAAGAUCAUAUCACAGUGUCCACCCUAGCAGAGGUUGGUAGUCAAAGACGGGUAAGUUUUCUCUGGGGUGUAUGAAAAUUCAUGUACAAAUAUUGACCCAAAAAUGGGGAUAUGAAUAAAAAAUAUAUACCUUUCGAGAGAAACAACCUAAGACAGGCACAAUCUUCUGCUCCAUAACUAUUAAGUUAUGGCCAAUUUUAAAAAUAUAAAAAAGGGGGACAUGUUGGGAGCCGUGACUCAGCGGCUUGCUUUGAUAUUUAAAUCUCGGCAGAGAGAUGGCUUUUAGCAGGCCUUUACUAAUGGCAGAGGAGAACUUGCAAGUCCAUCUCCUUUUGUUUGUGAUAAUAGGUGGGAUAGCUUGUGAGGGUCACACCUCUUCCUCAGGCUCCUUGUGCAAAUUAACCUAUUGUUCUGAGAUGCUUUACUGGCAAAAAGUACUCAAAUAAUAAAGUGGUCAGAAGGCUGGAGGCAGAGGAGGCAGGCAGAGUCUUGAGACUGGCUGCUGGCACUGCUUGCUGCAGCAGUCUGCCUUUUGCUGUGGCUGUCGAGUCUGGACCUUUAAAAAGUU